UACGUAGGGAGCGAGCGUUGUCCGGAUUCAUUGGGCGUAAAGCGCUUUAAGGCGGUUCGCUAAGUCGCGUGUGAAAACUCCAGGCUCAACCUGGAGACGCCACGUGAUACUGGCGUGACUAGAGUUCGGUAGGGGAUCACGGAAUUCCUGGUGUAGCGGUGAAAUGCGCAGAUAUCAGGAGGAACACCGGUGGCGAAGGCGGUGAUCUGGGCCGACACUGACGCUGUAGAGCGAAAGCGUGGGGAGCGAACAGG
rnacentral:rRNA from 2 species